GGGGUUGUGGCUCAGUGGUAGAGCACUUACCCACAUGCAUGAGGCACUGGGUUCGAUCCUCAGCACCACA
rnacentral:tRNA from 1 species